rnacentral:sRNA from 1 species
AGAAAAGUGAGUGCCGCCCCGCACAGGGGCGACGCUAAUAGACCACCAUGACUUCAAGGAAAGGCCAACACGCGAAGAGAACAACCGAGCGCGCCGCGAGUGCAGA